UUAUACUGAAACAUCACUUCUCAUUUGCUGUUUGGACAAUGGUGAUGGAACUGCUGCUUUAUUGCCCACGGAGAAGCGAAGCGAAGAGUCUAAAGUGGGUCUUGCAGUUACACUGGACAAAAGAAGUUUGAAACUGAGGCUUGGUCCUGAAGAACACAUAGCGAAGGCUGACAGAUUAUAUAUAUAUUCACAGCUUUAGCUUAAAGGUUGCUGGUUGAGCAAUAAGUAAUACAAGAAGAAAUUGUCUUUUCUGGAAUUGUCCUUCUUUCCAGGUGAAAUCUGAUUGUGCUGAUGCUUUGGGGAAGAACAUAUCAGUAUCAAUGGUGAGCAGAAGAGGAGCAGGGAUGAUGAAAGACCACACAUUCUCCAAAAGUCACUAAGCACUGUCCACAGAUCGAACAUUCAUAUUUUCAGAUA